GAGCCACACAGCAGGAGGCUUGGCUCUAAGAGAGAGAGAGAUUCUGAAGGGUCUCCAGGAGGCACAGAAUGUGAGAGGCAGGUCCUUUUCCAGGAGUAAAUGACCAUCGUGCACCCAUGGGAAGAGUGCUGCAUCCACGGAGGACCUGGGCCAACAGUGCUCUGAAAUGGGUUUCAUGAAAGCAUCUGUGACUCAUCCCUGUCCAAGAAUGUUUUCAUUAAGAUUCAGCAGAAGCGAUGUACCAGGUCAGCAAAUACAACUGCAAAACUGGGGCCUGACCGCCUGGCCAACACAGCAAGACCCCGUCUCUACUAAAAAUUAAAAUUAAAAUUAAUUAGCUGGGUAUGGUG